AGAGGGAGGGCGGAGGUGAAAGUAGUGAAUAGCGGUGUCGUCAUCGCGUACUUCUAAUCAUAUUAUUAAUGUUGAAAUAUAUGUGUACCCUCCCCCCUAUUUUAAAUUCUAGCCUAUAUUAAUCGUAAGCUGUCACUGUGGAGGAGAUAGUAGCAAAGAGGAAUCAAGCACCCCUUCAAAAAUGACCGAAAUGGGUCCAACUGGCGAGUCAUCAUCCUGCCAGGCGCGUGAGCUGUACUAAGUCUCUCCGCAAAAAGGGGGACGGUCUGAGCAUGUCAAGUAGACACAUAGUGGGAAGCCUAAGAAUUUGUUGUUUAGUCGUUUAGUCGUGUCCGACUCUUCGUGACUCCCUGGACCAGAGCACGCCAGGCCCUCCUGUCUUCCACUGCCUCCCGCAGUUUGGUCAAACUCAUGCUGGUAGCUUCGAGAACACUGUCCAACCAUCUCGUCCUCUGUCGUCCCCUUCUCCUUGUGCCCUCCAUCUUUCCCAGCAUCAGGGUCUUUUCCAGGGAGUCUUCUCUUCUCAUGAGGUGGCCAAAGUCUUGGAGCCUCAGCUUCAGGAUCUGUCCUUCCAGUGAGCACUCAGGGCUGAUUUCCUUCAGAAUGGAGAGGUCUGAUCUUCUUGCAGUCCAUGGGACUCUCAAGAGUCUCCUCCAGCACCAUAAUUCAAAAGCAUCAAUUAUUCGGCGAUCAGCCUUCUUUAUGGUCCAGCUCUCACUUCCAUGCAUCACUACUGGGAAAACCAUAGCUUUUACUAUAUGGACCUUUGUUGGCAAGGUGAUGUCUCUACUUUUUAAGAUGCUGUCUAGGUUUGCCAUCGCCUUUCUCCCAAGGAGCAGGCGUCUUUUAAUUUCGUGACUGCUGUCACCAUCUGCAGUGAUCAUGGAGCCCAAGAAAGUAAAAUCUCUCACUGCCUCCAUUUCUUCCCCUUCUAUUUGCCAGGAGGUGAUGGGACCAGUGGCCAUGAUCUUCGUUUUUUUGAUGUUGAGCUUCAGACCAUAUUUUGCGCUCUCCUCUUUCAUCCUCAUUAAAAGGUUAUUUAAUUCCUCCUCACUUUCUGCCAUCUAGGUUGUGUCAUCUGCAUAUCUGAGGUUGUUGAUAUUUCUUCCAGCAAUCUUAUUUCCGGCUUGGGAUUCAUCCAGCCCAGCCUUUUGCAUGAUGAAUUCUGCAUAUAAGUUAAAUAAGUAGGGAGACAAUAUACAGCCUUGUCGUAGUCCUUUCCCAAUUUUGAACCAAUCAGUUGUUCCCUAUCCAGUUCUAACUGUAACUUCUUGUCCCACAUAGAGAUUUCUCAGGAGACAGAUGAGGUUAUCAGGCACUCCCAUUUCUUUAAGGACUUGCCAUAGUCAAAGGCUUUUGCAUAGUCAAUGAAGCAGAAGUAGAUGUCUUUCUGGAACUCUCUAGCUUUCUCCAUAAUCUAGCACAUGUUUGCAAUUUGGUCUCUGGUUCCUCUGCCUCUUCUAAAUCCAGCUUGCACUUCUGGGAGUCCUGAAGAGGACCUGCAAUAAAUGCCAAAGGGAAAUGGAUCCUCACGUGCAAUGAAUUGGGCCCUCUCCAAAUUUGUGCUUUAUUUGCAAGUGAAUUCUAUGCCAUUUCCUUGGUGCAGGCUGCAUUCUUAACCAUACAUUUAAAGCAAUGAUGAUACCACUUUAAACUGGCAUGGCAUGGCAUGACAUUUAUUGAUUGAUUGAAUUUAUAUACCGCUCUAUACCUGGAAGUUUCAAGGCGGUUCACAGAACAAAAUCAACAUAUAAAACCACCAAAAAAAGAAUGACAUUUUAAAAGGGCAUAGGAUGUCAAUCAAAUCAAUCAAGGGCCUCAUUAAAAAGGAACGUUUCUGCCUGGUGCCUAAAGGGAUGUGGGUGGCGCUGUGGUCUAAACCACAGAGCCUAGGGCUUGACACUGGCUCCCUCGGCCAGUAAAGCAAGAUGAGCACCACAACCUCAGAGUCAUCCGUGACUGGACCUAAUGGUCAGGGGUCCCUUUACCUUUACCUAAAGGUGUAUAAUGAAGGCACCUGGCAAGCUUCCCUGGGAAGAGCAUUGUACAUUCUUACAUUCAAGCCAUACAUUUAAAGCAAUGGUGAUACCACUUUAAACAGGCAUGGCUUACCCCCCAAAUUUGGGGGGGAAAUGUAAUUUGUUCAGGGCGCUGAGAGUGGUUAGGGUACUCCUAUUCCCCUCACAGUGCUACAGUUCCCAUGCAUGGCUCUCUUUCUGGUUCGCCAGAAGCGGCUUAGUCAUGCUGGCCACAUGACCCAGAAGCUGUAUGCUAGCUCCCUCGGCCAGUAAAGCGAGAUGAGCGCCGCAACCCCAGAGUCGUCCACGACUGGACCUAAUAGUCAGGGGUCCCUUUACCUUUACCUUUAUACUUUUAUAUUGGUCUGCUUUGUGCUACAAGUCUGCAAGCUGCACUGAUGUUUUGCAGAGCAGUUACUUCCUUUUGCCUUUUUGUAUGCUAUGAGAUAAAUUUUGACAGAGAGAUUUAAAAAAUAAUUUGCCCGUAAACUGUAAUAAUAAUCCCUUUUACUUGCCUGGAUGGGGGACGGAGAGGUGUGUAUUUGUUUGUGCAAAGGAACCUCUGAUUUAUGUGUAUCUGCCAUGUAGCUUACUUCACAAAGGCAAGGGCCACAUCCAUUGCUUGUCCACUUUUCAUCUGGCCCCACCCACCUCUAACAUGUGAUCCCCGGAUAUUGCUAACAAGACAGGGCUGGCCCAUCCAUGAACAAGGUGAGGCAACCGCCUUGGGUGGCAGGAUCUACAGGGCGGCCAAUGUGGCCUCCAAGGAAUGUGUUGCCCGAUGCUGCUGUUGCAGUGACAGCAUGGCUGCAGUGGUCUCAGAGACUGGAACUGCUAGCAGCCACCUCCAAUUCCGCCUCUUGGUGAAUAGGAGAUCCUGCUGGUCUCCUCUCACCCCUAGAGAGGGAAUGGUGGGGGUUGCCUCCUGGGGUCAGCAUCCAUCCGGUGCAAUUCAGACUGGGGCCCUUUCCUACCCUGCAACAGCCUUUGAUUCCCACUUCUGUGAUGAUGUAGACAUGCAUUACCCGCCUUGUUCCUGAUGCUGAUCUUCAUCAUCAUCACCAUCAUUUUAUUUGUAUGCCGCCUUUCCAUAGUUAAAACAAUGCUCAAGGCGGCUUACAACAUGACAAGAUUUACAUCAUUACCAACAGAACAAAAGUCAUAAGCUAUAAAUAAAACACAUCAAAAAGUACACAACCUGGUACCAAAUAGUAUGGGAAACAGCCAUACUAGAAAAAUUAACC